AUUGAACGCUGGCGGCAGGCCUAACACAUGCAAGUCGAGCGGAUGAGGAAAGCUUGCUUUUCGAUUCAGCGGCGGACGGGUGAGUAAUGCCUAGGAAUCUGCCUGUUAGUGGGGGAUAACUCGGGGAACUCGGGCUAAUACCGCAUACGUCCUACGGGAGAAAGUGGGGGAUCUUCGAACCUCACGCUAACAGAUGAGCCUGGGUCGGAUUAGCUAGUAGGUGAGGUAAUGGCUCACCUAGGCGACGAUCCGUAACUGGUCUGAGAGGAUGAUCAGUCACACUGGAACUGAGACACGGUCCAGACUCCUACGGGAGGCAGCAGUGGGGAAUAUUGGACAAUGGGCGAAAGCCUGAUCCAGCCAUGCCGCGUGUGUGAAGAAGGUCUUCGGAUUGUAAAGCACUUUAAGUUGGGAGGAAGGGUAUUCACCUAAUACGUGGGUACUUUGACGUUACCAACAGAAUAAGCACCGGCUAACUCUGUGCCAGCAGCCGCCGUAACAC
rnacentral:rRNA from 1 species